GUCCAGGAAUGGGAAUCGAACCCACAGUGUUCCGCUUACCGGGCAGUGUCAUGUCCACUAGGCUACCCUGGA
rnacentral:tRNA from 1 species